AUACGUAGGGGGCGAGCGUUGUCCGGAAUGAUUGGGCGUAAAGGGCGCGUAGGCGGCCGCUUAAGUCUGGAGUGAAAUUCCAGUUUUCAAGGCUGGAACUGCUUUUAAUACUGUUGAGCUUGAGUGCGGAAGAGGUAAGCGGAAUUCCCAGUGUAGCGGUGAAAUGCGUAGAGAUUGGGAAGAACACCAGUGGCGAAGGCGGCUUACUGGGCUGUAACUGACGCUGAGGCGCGAAAGCGUGGGGAGCGAACAGGAUUAGAUACCCUGGUAGUCCACGCUGUAAACGAUGAAUGCUAGGUGUAGGGGGUAUCGACCCCUCCUGUGCCGGAGUGAACGUAAUAAGCAUUCCGCCUGGGGAGUACGGCCGCAAGGUUGAAACUCAAAGGAAUUGACGGGG
rnacentral:rRNA from 1 species